UACGUAGGUGGCGAGCGUUGUCCGGAUUUACUGGGCGUAAAGAGCGCGCAGGCGGUCGUACAAGUCGCGUGUGAAAGCCCCCGGCUCAACUGGGGAGGGUCACGCGAUACUGUUCGACUCGAAGGCAGGAGAGGGAAGUGGAAUUCCCGGUGUAGUGGUGAAAUGCGUAGAUAUCGGGAGGAACACCAGUGGCGAAGGCGGCGACCUGGACAGAUAUUGACGCUGAGGUGCGAAAGCGUGGGGAGCAAACAGG
rnacentral:rRNA from 1 species